UCCGUUUGCCCUAAGAUGUCGCCCUGAGUUUAUAGUUGUGUUUCGUUUGUUUUCGCUCCCCGCAAAAUUUAAACAGAGUGCAAAAAUGGCAUAAAUAUUCUGUGAAUUUAGCUCGCCAGAUGCUUAAAAAUUCGCCCCGCUUGAUGGCCAGAGACACAAAACAGGUAGUGGCACCGAGCCUGCACCCAUCUGAAGCAAAUUGCAGGGACAUGGUGCUGUGCUGCGGGUGGACAUGUGUAGGCCUUCUUCCGGAGGGGAGUCCAUUCCGAAGAAACAGGCAGCAGAGACCUGGGGUCCCUUCUAACCGACUGCCAAGUGGUAUCCACCCAGUAGUACCGUUAUCUUGAUAAAAAAGGCUACUACCCUCGAUAUUAGUUGAUUUCAAAAAGUGUCCCGAUGUAACCAGCCGAAACCGGCGACGAUUCAUGCCUGCAGAACGUGGAGUCUAACACGUUUCCAAGUUGGAAUCUGGUGGUCAUACGGGUUCCAAACCUAAAGCGUGAUCAAUAUAACUCGAUGGAAGCGGAAAAGAGCGUCUAACCAAACUGUCCCAGGCCGACAACAGGAAACAGAAGCCAGCAAAGAAAACCACAACAUCAUCGA